AAUGAAUUUGUAUGCGCAUUGUAUGAUGAAUUCUUGGAUUUUAUUUAUAGUUAAAGACAAUAAAAUUGACAAACUUCUUUCCAUUCAUUCUAAAAUUACUAUGAAAAAUCAAUUGAUUCAAAGUUUAGAUUGUUAGUGUUACAAUUUGUUUAAGUUGUAGGAAUUUCUUACAAAGCUUUAAUAAAUAAUGAGAUAUAGGGAUUUCAUUAUAAUUGAAAACAUAAAAAAUGGAAUGAAUUGAAGGGAGAGGGCAUCGCUCAUGCAUGGAAGAAAUAGAAUGUCAGGACAAUGUGAGGAUGAAGAUGACCUCCUCUUAAUGUAUGCCAGAGAGAAGAUGGAUGGACGUCACGGUGGGAAAGAAGAUGCGAUGAGGAUACUUUAUUGUGGGAAAAGGGGUAGUGCAAUAAUACUUUCACGGUGGAGAAGGUGGCACGGUGGAUUUUUCACGAUGGGGAAGGGCUAAUGGUGGCAUUUGAUGAUGAAAAAGUAAGGUACGAUGGGAUUUCAUAGUGGAGAAGGGUGCCAUAUGUCUCACAGGAUAAUUCGUGGUAGGAAAGUAAGGAUACAAUGAGAUUUAAGGAUUCUUUUGUUACUAAAGGCAAAAUGUCCUUGGGAAUAUUAUAGGGAUUGGGAGUUAUAUUUAUUUUUUGCUAUGGAUUGGAUAUCAGAGUCAUGAUCAACAGGGUUUAAAGCUUAAAUCCCAGUCAACAAUUGAAUCGAGACUUGAAAUCCCCUAUUUUUUAAUAAUCCUCUUAUGUGUAUGUAGUGAAAAAUGGGCAAUGAAUGGAAAAUAUUUAUUGAGAAUUUAAAAAUUAUAAAAUGAACCCUAAAUACACUUAGAUGUAUAUACAAAUAUUGGAUAAUUAAAUAAGAUUGUUUAGAUAUUAUGGAAUCAAUAUCCCUAUUCAAGAACAAAUUAUUAUUCCACUCAAUUUCCUAUCAACGGAAUGGAAAAGAAAAAUAUAGUAGUCGCUCUAUGAGAUACAAUGAGAUUUAAGGAUUCUUUUGUUACUAAAGACAAAAUGUCCUUGGGAAUAUUAUAGGGAUUGGGAGUUAUAUUUAUUUUUUGCUAUGGAUUGGAUAUCAGAGUCAUGAUCAACAGGGUUUAAAGCUUAAAUCCCAGUCAACAAUUGAAUAGAGACUUGAAAUCCCCUAUUUUUUAAUAAUCCUCUUAUGUGUAUGUAGUGAAAAAUGGGCAAUGAAUGGCAAAUAUUUAUUGAGAAUUUAAAAAUUAUAAAAUGAACCCUAAAUACACUUAGAUGUAUAUACAAAUAUUGGAUAAUUUAAUAAGAUUCUUUAGAUAUUAUGGAAUCAAUAUCCCUAUUCAAGAACAAAUUAUUAUUCCACUCAAUCUCCUAUCAACGGAAUGGAAAAGAAAAAUAUAGUAGUUGCUCUAUGAGAAAGAUAUAUGAAGGAAAAAGUUAAAUCUUCCUAUAAAAUAGUUUGUGAGCUUGAACUGGUUGAGACGUGCCGUAUAUUAUCUAGGAUUAGGCAUAGUGCAAUACUGUAUCAAUUUUCAAACUUUUGCAUGCAAAACACUUGGGCUAUUUAGGACGCGACAAAGAUCCUAGAUAUCUACGCAUGGUGGGUAGAGUGGGACACAAGAUCAUCCUAGAGUAAUUUAUCUUCAACAAAGGGAAUGUAUUGCCUUAUCGAGAGCAUAGAAGACUUAGCAAGAAUUAUGCUUUGAAAUAAUACUUUAUUUGAUUGCAGAGCAUGUGCCUUAAAGCUUUCUAUUCUUGUAAAUAGUCUUUUAUGCAUAUAACUAUGUAUGAACUUAAUUUUUAGUUCAUUAACGGCAUGUUAUGUAUUUUUGUUUAUAUUUGUUUAUUAAUUGCUAUUAUGAUAUGCUUAAAUAUAUUGUUCAGUAAGAAUUCUAAGAUUGGUUGAAUUCCAAGAAAGUUCUUGCUUAGAGCUUAUAAUUUUGAGUAAAUGAUAAUUAGACAUUUAAACAUGCAAGAUGAGUGGAAGCACAGAGAACUUUCGAUUAUGUAUCUUAUAUUAGGUUAUUAAUCACUUAAAAAAUAAUAUAUACAUAUUUUUUUUUGUGCUAGUAUUUAUUGUGUACCUUUCUCUAUGUAGUAAUAGUGAAUUGGUGUAUGUAUUUAAGCAUAUCGUGAUUGAGUUGAAUAAAGAUGAUAAGCUAAACAAUGAUAAUUAUGAUAUUUGGUACUAAAAAGUUUAGUAUAUCCUUGAGAAACAAGAGAUUCUAAAGUCACUUAACCAUACCAUGGCUAAGUUUGAGCAGGGUACUUUUACUCCACAUAAAAAAAAUCAUGAUGCCUAUUUGGCCUGGAAGAGGAAGAAUAGCGUUGUUCGCAUCACAUUGUUGAGUGGUAUGCAGAAUGAUCUCAUGUGUGAAUUUGAGAAGUACGACAUAGCUCAGAAAAUGUAGCUUGCUCUAAAAGAGAAGUUUAGAGGUACUUCAACUGCUAAGCUGAGAAGGCUUACUAUCAAGUUUGACUCCUAUAGGAAGCGACCAAGUAAUAUUAUGAGGCAACAUUUUAGAGAGAUGUCAAACAUGAUAAGGGAGUUGAGGGUAGCUGGCCACAUCCUCACUAACGAGCAAAAUGAUUAGGCUAUAAUUAGAACCUUACUCAAGAGCUGGGAGCAUAUGAUAAUUACUAUAAUGCACAAUGUUAAUAUAAAGGCUUUUGAUGACAUAGCACGUCCUUUGGAGCUGGAAGAUGAGAACUUUAAGGUAGCUAAAUCUUCUGGUUUAGGUUAUGUGGCUAAAUCUAGCUCAUGCAAGGUAGCUUCAAGCAUAAGAGGUUGGAAAUUCUCCAAAAUGAGUAAGGAAAAAGGGUAAGCAUCCAAAUUUGGUAAAGCUAAGCAGCAUAAGGGAGGCAAACAUGUGGUAAAAAGAAGGAUAAGCCUAAGAUAUGAUGCUUUAAAUGUCUAGUUAGCAUUGACUUACAACUAUUUGCUCAAAAUUUUAAAUUCUAGGUGAGAACUUUCUUAAGGCCUGUUUAAAUCCUAUAGGAUUCAUGAAUCAACCAUCAUAAGCAUUGGAUGAUAGGCUGCACUAGGUCUGUGUUUACCAUUAUCUUAGCUAAGCUCAUUUUUCCUCCAUAUGAGAUUUGGGCCAACCCAUUCAAAAUAUAUUAUAGGAUAGUUAUAAACAUAGACCUAGUCCAACCUAUAAUUUAAUAUGUUUGGUAGUUGUACUGGUCUAGCCCACGAAUCUCAUGGGCUUUUGGGCCUAACCAUCCAAACAGGCCCUUAAAAUUCUACCAACCUUAGAAC
rnacentral:lncRNA from 1 species